AGCAGCCGCGGUAAUUCCAGCUCCAAUAGCGUAUAUUAAAGUUGUUGCAGUUAAAAAGCUCGUAGUUGAAUUUCGGGAUCAGUACGUCGGUCGUGCCUUCGGUACGUACUGGCGUCGCUGAUUUCUUCCUUCUGACGAACCGUGAUGCCAUUAAUUUGGUGUUGCGGGGAAUCAGGACUGUUACUUUGAAAAAAUUGAGUGUUUAAAGCGGGCACGCGCUUGAAUACAUUAGCAUGGAAUAACGAAAUAGGACGUUCGAUCUUAUUUUGUUGGUUUCUAGGAUUGACGUAAUGAUUAAUAGGGAUAGUUGGGGGCAUUAGUAUUCAAUUGUCAGAGGUGAAAUUCUUGGAUUUAUGAAGACUAACUACUGCGAAAGCAUUUGCCAAGGAUGUUUCAUUAAUCAAGAACGAAAGUUAGGGGAUCGAAGACGAUCAGAUACCGUCGUAGUCUUAACCAUAAACUAUGCCGACUAGGGAUCGGAUGAUGUUAAUUUUAUAAUGACUCAUUCGGCGCCUUACGGGAAAA
rnacentral:rRNA from 1 species